rnacentral:rRNA from 1 species
UACGAAGGGGGCUAGCGUUGCUCGGAAUCACUGGGCGUAAAGGGUGCGUAGGCGGGUCUUUUAAGUCAGGGGUGAAAUCCUGGAGCUCAACUCCAGAACUGCCUUUGAUACUGAAGAUCUUGAGUUCGGGAGAGGUGAGUGGAACUGCGAGUGUAGAGGUGAAAUUCGUAGAUAUUCGCAAGAACACCAGUGGCGAAGGCGGCUCACUAGCCCGAUACUGACGCUGAGGCACGAAAGCGUGGGGAGCAAACAGG